UACGUAGGGGCCUAGCGUUGUCCGGAUUUAUUGGGCGUAAAGAGCUCGUAGGCGGUUCGGUAAGUCAGGUGUGAAAUCUCCACGCUCAACGUGGAGGCGCCACCUGAAACUGCCGUGACUAGAGUCCGGUAGGGGAGUGUGGAAUUCCCGGUGUAGCGGUGAAAUGCGUAGAUAUCGUAAGGAAGACCAGUGACGAAGGCGGGUCUCUGGACAGUUCCUGACGCUGAGGCACGAAGGCCAGGGGAGCAAACGGG
rnacentral:rRNA from 1 species